UACGGAGGAUCCAAGCGUUAUCCGGAUUCAUUGGGUUUAAAGGGUGCGUAGGCGGCAUGAUAAGUCAGUGGUGAAAGCCUGUUGCUUAACAACAGAACUGCCAUUGAUACUGUCAAUCUUGAGUACAUUUGAUGUGGGCGGAAUGUGUCAUGUAGCGGUGAAAUGCUUAGAUAUGACACAGAACACCGAUUGCGAAGGCAGCUCACAAAACUGUAACUGACGCUGAGGCACGAAAGCGUGGGUAGCAAACAGG
rnacentral:rRNA from 1 species